rnacentral:rRNA from 1 species
GACGAAGGAUGCAAGCGUUAUCCGGAUUCAUUGGGUUUAAAGGGAGCGUAGGUGGCCUUAUAAGUCAGUGGUGAAAUCUCGCAGCUUAACUGCGAAAUUGCCAUUGAUACUGUAGGGCUUGAGUAUAGUUGCCGUUGGCGGAAUAUGACAUGUAGUGGUGAAAUACAUAGAGAUGUCAUAGAACACCGAUUGCGAAGGCAGCUAACGAAACUAUAACUGACACUGAGGCUCGAAAAGUGCGGGGAU